CAUCACCUACUCUGGAGUUGAGGUUGGGGCUUUAAUCGGAUUGUUAAGUGUGUAACUAAGUAAGUGUUGUGCAUAUCACUAUCAGUGGGGUUUGUUCAUAUAGUAGUAGUAUAGUGAUUUUGUUUGUUUGGUGUUAGUGUUUGUGUGUGUAACUGCCUAGUAUUUACGCCCUUAUUUGAGCGGCGGAUUGGAUAGUACUUUAGGGCUUUUGAUGAUGUUUUGUAGGGUACGAUGAUGAUGUUCUUGACGAUGUUUCAUUGUUGAAUGCUAAAGAAAGUAGCUAGUUCCCUUACUGGUUUUACCUCAUGAGGGGGUGGAUUGACGAAUUUAAUCCAGUUCAUGUUCG
rnacentral:lncRNA from 1 species